CCUGAACGCUGGCGGCGUGGCUAAGACAUGCAAGUCGCACGGUGUAGCAAUACACAGUGGCGAACGGGUGAGUAAAGAAUCGCUAACGUACCCCGACUCUGGGAUAGCUAUCCGAAAGGGUAGGUAAUACCAGAUGACAUAUUCCGCUCGCAUGAGUGGGAUCUACAAAGGUCCGCCGGUCUGGGAGCGGGCGAUUUCGUAUCAGCUAGUUGGUGAGGAACGGCUCACCAAGGCGACGACGCGUAGCCGGACCUGAGAGGUUGGCCGGCCACAUUGGGAC
rnacentral:rRNA from 1 species